AUUCCAGCUCCAAUAGCGUAUAUUAAAGUUGUUGCAGUUAAAAAGCUCGUAGUUGGAUUUGUGGAGGGCCGUCUGGUUCGCCCUUUUGGGCGGUACUUGGGCAGCUCGUCCAUCCUUGGGUGGAAUCUGUGUGGCAUUAGGUUGUCGUGCAGGGGAUGCCCAUCUUUUACUGUGAAAAAAUUAGAGUGUUCAAAGCAGGCUUAUGCCGUUGAAUAUAUUAGCAUGGAAUAAUGAGAUAGGACCUUGGUACUAUUUUGUUGGUUUGCGCACCGAGGUAAUGAUUAAUAGGGACAGUUGGGGGUAUUCGUAUUCCAUUGUCAGAGGUGAAAUUCUUGGAUUUUUGGAAGACGAACUACUGCGAAAGCAUUUACCAAGGAUGUUUUC
rnacentral:rRNA from 1 species